UUUGAUAACGUGUACAUGUACAGAGACCAGGUGAAUACAGUCGGAUGUCGUUGGAUAACGUGUACAUGUACAGAGACCAGGUGAAUCCAGUCGGAUGUCGUUGGAUAACGUGUACAUUCGGAUGUCGUUGGAUAACGUGUACAUGUACAGAGACCAGGUGAAUACAGUCGGAUGUCGUUGGAUAACGUGUACAGUCGGAUGUCGUUGGAUAGUGAUUUUUUUGUUAAGUCUGUCUACACCGACUACGGCUCCCAGUGGCGCUGGAGCGGUGGAGGGGUUGCCGGGGCGAACUAAGAGUCUCGGGGUUCAGAGGAGAGAAUGGUCCCGUCUGCGCUUUAUUACGCUGGUCAAAUCAAACGUGACACCUGGACUCUGAGCUGUUCAGGGAGGGCUCACCGAGAAUACACAGCGCACAACAUGUCAGAGCUGCACACAAACAAACAAAGUGCAGGCGUAGGGGAGUCCACGGAGGACACAGAACUGGUUCAGACUUUUUUGGAUCAUUUACCCACUGCCUUUUGAAAGCAGUGUUUUAGACCUCUAUUUCCCAAAAGAAGUACUAUUAUCUAUCACCACUCUUGUUUCGUGGGCUAGAAGAUAACACAUUUUUUUACUCUUGCUCUCCUUCCACCCAACAGCUCAAGAGGCUUUUUUCUAAUCUUAAUUCAUAUAUUUAUUUUACCUUAUUGACAUUACAUUGGGAAAUGGAUAUCAAUACGCCCUAAUUGGGCUGAGAUAAUGACAUUUAAAGUAUUGUU
ensembl:lncRNA